UACAUGGGGUGCAAACGUUGCUCGGAAUUAUUGGGCGUAAAGGGCGCGUAGGCGGCCACCGCAAGUCAGUUGUGAAAGCUCUGGGCUUAACCCAGAAAGGUCAGCUGAUACUGCGGGGCUAGAGUGCAGAAGGGGCAACUGGAAUUCUCGGUGUAGCGGUGAAAUGCGUAGAUAUCGAGAGGAACACCUGCGGCGAAGGCGGGUUGCUGGGCUGACACUGACGCUGACAGCGCGAAAGCUAGGGGAGCGAACGGGAUUAGAUACCCCGGAUCA
rnacentral:rRNA from 1 species